CUGUGCUUGCAUGCACACAUACUAAAAUAUUGGAAUGAUACAGAGUAGAUAAGCAUGGCCCCUGCGCAAGAGAUGACACACAAAUUCGUGAAGUGUUCCCCCAAAAA
rnacentral:snRNA from 1 species